rnacentral:rRNA from 1 species
UACGUAGGGGGCUAGCGUUGUCCGGAAUUAUUGGGCGUAAAGAGCGUGUAGGCGGCCCGAUUAGUCCGCUGUGAAAGUCCAGGGCUCAACCCUGGAAUGCCGGUGGAUACUGUCGGGCUAGAGUCCGGAAGGGGCGAGUGGAAUUCCUGGUGUAGCGGUGAAAUGCGCAGAUAUCAGGAGGAACACCAAUGGCGAAGGCAGCUCGCUGGGACGUGACUGACGCUGAGACGCGAAAGCGUGGGGAGCAAACAGG